rfam:Gossypium arboreum cultivar AKA8401 contig_6973_3, whole genome shotgun sequence.
AAUCCAUGCAUCAGACAUUUUCUAAUUAAGUCUUUAAAUCGUUCCCAAGCUUCAUAUAGCGUCUCAUCUUUCAUUUGACAAAAAGACAUAAUAUCGUUUCUCAACUU